AGGAAAUCACGAUCGGCUGGGCAAGGCCCUAAUGGAGCAUCACCAGUGGUGCUAUCUCCUACAAUGGGCAGGUCCACCCAGAAAGGUGCUGCGCUACCUGGAGGCAGUUCCUUGGUGUCCUCAGAUGCGGGACACCAUGAAACUACAUCAGGAUGACGGGACAGGACCACGAAAUCGGCAAAGGACACUCACAAUUCGGACUGACCUGCAGAAAGCAGCUCAAUUGGGAGAAAAAUAAUCUGUUUUUCCGUUAAUAAACCACACUAGUCUGAUUUACUAAUUUAGACCUUAAGGGCAGGCUUCCCCAAACUCCGGC